AAAGAGACUCGUGGCCAACACGUGUCCUGCUGCUCCUGGGGUCCUUCCCAGCAGCCAGAGCUGAGCAUCUGAAAGCAGGUGACACAGGGAACACAAUUAGAAGGAAAUGCAGCAAGGCCAGUGAGAUCAACUCUCCUAGAGGACUCUUCUUAGGGCUAGAAGGAAGAAGCUUGAGGGUGGAACAAACUGUCUCUCAAGAAGAGUCUAUCUGUCACUGGUGACUGAGUGCUUGAUUUAGAGCAGAUGCCCUGCUUUUAAAUAGAUGGCUCAAAAUAGAUGUUUGAUUGCUGUUCCAUAUUUAGCAUGAAGCACAGCCAUACGUGGAAGAUUUGCUCUAUAUCCAAGCAGAAGAAGAGUUUGGAAGAGGCCUUAUGAUGCUGCUGGAACCGUGGCUGGUGUCUUUUCUAGGGCCCUUAGGAGACUGUUUGUCAGGAGCUCCCCCAUGGACAGCAAAGGAAAAUUUGCCAUUUUCUUGAAUUAGGCCUGCAAUGGGGCCCUGGUUGAACAAGAAAUGUCUGGCUGACAGUGCAGCAGCUUAGAAACUGAAGCGAGUUCAAAAGUUCCUAACAACACUUCCAAACAAGCACUUUGGGAAGACAAUG